rnacentral:rRNA from 1 species
UACGUAGGGGGCAAGCGUUGUCCGGAUUUAUUGGGCGUAAAGAGCGUGUAGGCGGCCUGACAGGUCUGCUGUGAAAACUCGAGGCUCAACCUCGAGAUGUCGGCGGAAACCGUCUGGCUAGAGUCCGGAAGAGGAGACUGGAAUUCCUGGUGUAGCGGUGAAAUGCGCAGAUAUCAGGAGGAACACCGGUGGCGAAGGCGGGUCUCUGGGCAACAACUGACGCUGAGGAGCGAAAGCGUGGGGAGCGAACAGG